GAUCAUUACCGAGUUUACAACUCCCAAACCCAAUGUGAACCAUACCAAACUGUUGCCUCGGCGGGGUCACGCCCCGGGUGCGUCGCAGCCCCGGAACCAGGCGCCCGCCGGAGGGACCAACCAAACUCUUUCUGUAGUCCCCUCGCGGACGUUAUUUCUUACAGCUCUGAGCAAAAAUUCAAAAUGAAUCAAAACUUUCAACAACGGAUCUCUUGGUUCUGGCAUCGAUGAAGAACGCAGCGAAAUGCGAUAAGUAAUGUGAAUUGCAGAAUUCAGUGAAUCAUCGAAUCUUUGAACGCACAUUGCGCCCGCCAGUAUUCUGGCGGGCAUGCCUGUCCGAGCGUCAUUUCAACCCUCGAACCCCUCCGGGGGGUCGGCGUUGGGGAUCGGGAACCCCUAAGACGGGAUCCCGGCCCCGAAAUACAGUGGCGGUCUCGCCGCAGCCUCUCCUGCGCAGUAGUUUGCACAACUCGCACCGGGAGCGCGGCGCGUCCACGUCCGUAAAACACCCAACUUCUGAAAUGUUGACCUCGGAUCAGGUAGGAAUACCCGCUGAACUUAAGCAUAUCAAU
rnacentral:rRNA from 2 species